rnacentral:rRNA from 1 species
UACGUAGGGUGCGAGCGUUAAUCGGAAUUACUGGGCGUAAAGCGUGCGCAGGCGGCUUCUGAAGUCCGUUGUGAAAGCCCCGGGCUUAACCUGGGAAUGGCAGUGGAAACUAGGAGACUUGAAUCUGGCAGAGGGGGGUGGAAUGCCACGUGUAGCAGUGAAAUGCGUAGAGAUGUGGCGGAACACCGAUGGCGAAGGCAGCCCCCUGGGUCAAGAUUGACGCUCAGGCACGAAAGCGUGGGGAGCAAACAGG